GCUGUGUAUAAAACGUUUGUUAUAGGAAAUGCUGCGUCAAAAUACAAACUUACUGUUGCUGAUUAUUCUGGAACUGCAGGUGAUAAUUUAAAAUUUCACAAUGGUAUGAAAUUUACUACAGUUUACCAGGAUAACGAUACACAAAAAAAUAAUUGUGCAGUAUUAAACACGGGAGCCUGGUGGUAUCAAGCUUGUUCCUAUUGUGAUCUCACUCGUACUGAUAAAAAACCGUUUUGGUACCAUAAAUUUAUAUCGAAAUCUGUUAUGAUGAUAAGAAAAAUUUAAGGUCAAUUGUAUUCAUUAUAACAGUGGUAACAUCAUUCUAUAUAUUUUCUUCAAUAAAACAUUAGGCUAA